rnacentral:rRNA from 1 species
AUUGAACGCUGGCGGCAGGCCUAACACAUGCAAGUCGAACGAGUGGCGGACGGGUGAGUAAUGUCUGGGAAACUGCCUGAUGGAGGGGGAUAACUACUGGAAACGGUAGCUAAUACCGCAUGCCACCAGAUGUUCCCAGAUGGGAUUGGCUAGUUGGGGGGGUAACGGCUCACCAAGGCGACGAUCCCUAGCUGGUCCGAGAGGAUGACCAGCCACACUGGGACUGAGACACGGUCCAGACUCCUACGGUAGUCAGCAGUGGGGAAUAUUGCACAAUGGGCGCAAGCCUGAUGCAGCCAUGCCGCGGGUAUGAAGAAGGACUUCGGGUUGUAAAGUACUUUCAGCGGGGAGGCGUUACCCGCAGAAGAAGCACCGGGUAACUCCGUGCCAGCAGCCGCGGUAAUUC